rnacentral:rRNA from 1 species
UACAGAGGGUGCGAGCGUUGUCCGGAAUCACUGGGCGUAAAGGGCGCGUAGGCGGCCGUCCAAGUCGGGUGUGAAAUCCCUCGGCUCAACCGAGGAACUGCACUCGAUACUGGUCGGCUAGAGUCCGGGAGGGGAUGGUGGAAUUCCCAGUGUAGCGGUGAAAUGCGUAGAUAUCUGGAGGAACACCGGUGGCGAAGGCGGCAUCCUGGACCAAUUCUGACGCUGAGGAGCGAAAGCCAGGGGAGCAAACGGG